GUCGGGCAAUCCUGCUCAUAGACUUAGAAAUGAAAGCAUUUGGAGGAGGGGCAAGUGGAAGGCCCAGCAGCAGCGGGGAGCGUUGUCGGUAACCGAAGGGGCUCUGGUGAAUUUCAGCCUGAAAAGUCAAACUGCAGCUCCAGCUUAGGGCAGGGACUUCCAUUCCAGGGGACCCGAGCACCGACCAGAAUGAAGUCCUGCUGCGCCGGCCAGAGGCGAAAGUGGGAUGUGGACUGCCAUCUGGAAGAAUUCGGCUGGAUUCGGGUCCUCGAGGCUACAGCUUUGGACCUGCGGCCUGACAGGGGCGCACCCCUGAGUGUGAGUGAGCGUGUGGUCCCAGUUCCGAGAUGCGUGCCCGCAGCGCGGGAUUCCCAUGGCCGGAACACGCAAAGGGAUGUCUGGCCAAAACCAACCACUCAGCAUCAGCAACACUUCCUCUUCCCGAGCCCACUAAGUCUCUCACACAGUGAAAGUGUUUUGUUGUUGUUGUUGUUUUAAAGAAGAGAGUGAGAGAGAUAUUUAUGCACAUAUUUAUCCCUCUAAUUACAGGAAUUAAUCCUCUUAUGACUAAAAGGUAACAUGGAAGGACGUCCUUUUGAUGUGGAAAAGCACCAUUUGUGACUCACAUUCAGACUGAUUAAGGAAUAAUUGUUGUUAAACGCUUUGCAAGAGGAAAGUGUUUAAUUGAGGGGCAUUCGUAAUUUUACGGCUUAGUGCAAAAUUAAAC
rnacentral:lncRNA from 1 species